GACGAACGCUGGCGGCGGGCUUAACACAUGCAAGUCGAACGAUGAAGCCUAGCUUGCUGGGUGGAUUAGUGGCGAACGGGUGAGUAACACGUGAGUAACCUGCCCCUUACGCUGGGAUAAGCGCUGGAAACGGCGUCUAAUACUGGAUAUUACCUUUCAUCGCAGGGUGUUUGGUGGAAAGUUUUGUCGGUUUGGAUUGGACUUGCGGCAUAUCACCUUGAUGGGGAGGUAGUGGCUCAACUGGGCGACGACGGUAAGCCGCCCUGAGACGUGACCGGCAACACUGGGACUGAGGCACGGCCCAGUCUCCUACGGUAGGCAGCAGUGGGGAAUAUUGCACAAUGGGCGCAAGCCUGAUGCAGCAACGCCGCGUGUGGGAUGACGGCCUUCUGGUUGUAAACCUCUUUUAGUAGGGAAGAAGCGUAAUUGACGGUACCUACAGAAAAAGCACCGGCUAACUACGUG
rnacentral:rRNA from 1 species